GCCCGGUUAGCUCAAUCGGUAGAGCGUGAGACUCUUAAUCUCAAGGUUGCGGGUAAGUCAAUGCUCAACAUCUGAGA